GUAGAGGGUGAGAGUCCCGUAGACGAAAACACUGCAACUGUCGUUGUGAGUACCCAAGUAGCAGCGGGCCCGUGAAAUCUGCUGUGAAUCUGUCGGGACCACCCGAUAAGCCUGAAUACUCCCUGGUGACCGAUAGCGGACUAGUACCGUGAGGGAAAGGUGAAAAGUACCCCGGGAGGGGAGUGAAAUAGUACCUGAAACCGUGCGCUUACAAUCCGUCAAAGCUGGUGAACAGUUUACUGUUGCUGGUGAUGGCGUGCCUUUUGAAGAAUGAGCCUGCGAGUUAGUGGCAUGUCGCGAGGUUAACCCGUGUGGGGUAGCCGUAGCGAAAGCGAGUCCGAAUAGGGCGUAUCCACGUGAGUGGUGUAGUGGCGUGUUCUAGACCCGAAGCGGAGUGAUCUACCCAUGGCCAGGUUGAAGCGACGGUAA
rnacentral:rRNA from 1 species